UACGAAGGGGGCUAGCGUUGCUCGGAAUCACUGGGCGUAAAGGGUGCGUAGGCGGGUCUUUAAGUCAGGGGUGAAAUCCCGGAGCUCAACUUCGGAACUGCCUUGAUACUGGGUAUCUUGAGUAUGGAAGAGGUAAGUGGAAUUGCGAGUGUAGAGGUGAAAUUCGUAGAUAUUCGCAGGAACACCAGUGGCGAAGGCGGCUUACUGGUCCAUUACUGACGCUGAGGUGACGAAAGCGGAUGGG
rnacentral:rRNA from 1 species